UGGGGAAUCUUAGACAAUGGGGGCAACCCUGAUCUAGCCAUGCCGCGUGAGUGACGAAGGUCUUAGGAUCGUAAAGCUCUUUCGCCGGGGAAGAUAAUGACGGUACCCGGUAAAGAAGUCCCGGCUAACUCCGUGCCAGCAGCCGCGGUAAUACGGAGGGACUAGCGAUGUUCGGAAUUACUGGGCGUAAAGCGCGCGUAGGCGGAUAUUUAAGUCAGGGGUGAAAUCCCGGGGCUCAACCCCGGAACUGCCCUUGAUACUGGAUGUCUGGAGUUCGAGAGAGGUGAGUGGAAUUCCGAGUGUAGAGGUGAAAUUCGUAGAUAUUCGGAGGAACACCAGUGGCGAAGGCGGCUCACUGGCUCGAUACUGACGCUGAGGUGCGAAAGCGUGGGUAGCGAACAGGAUUAGAUACCCCUGUAGUCC
rnacentral:rRNA from 1 species